UGGCAAGAAAGAAGGAGAGAAAGAGAGAAGGAUAGAGAGAGACUUUGGAGAAUUCUUGAAUUAUUUGAUUGGCAUCCCAAAAUCACAAUUCAAUUCUCUAUUUAUACUAGCACAUUUAUAGCAAUCCUAGCAAUUACCCUCCCCAUGAAGAUCAUCUUUGUCCCCAAGGAUGAAAAGAAACAGCUCCUCAAUCAAUUGUGCACUGUCCAUCGCUGUCCUCUUUUUCCUUGCUUCCAUAAUUGCUGAAUCUUUGCAUAGUAAUUUCAA
rnacentral:misc_RNA from 1 species